AGGCUGGGGAUAACAUUUGGAAACAGAUGCUAAUACCGAAUAAAACUUAGUGUCGCAUGACACAAAGUUAAAAGGCGCUUCGGCGUCACCUAGAGAUGGAUCCGCGGUGCAUUAGUUAGUUGGUGGGGUAAAGGCCUACCAAGACAAUGAUGCAUAGCCGAGUUGAGAGACUGAUCGGCCACAUUGGGACUGAGACACGGCCCAAACUCCUACGGGAGGCUGCAGUAGGGAAUCUUCCACAAUGGGCGAAAGCCUGAUGGAGCAACGCCGCGUGUGUGAUGAAGGCUUUCGGGUCGUAAAGCACUGUUGUAUGGGAAGAACAGCUAGAAUAGGAAAUGAUUUUAGUUUGACGGUACCAUACCAGAAAGGGACGGCUAAAUACGUGCCAGCAGCCGCGGUAAUACGUAUGUCCCGAGCGUUAUCCGGAUUUAUUGGGCGUAAAGCGAGCGCAGACGGUUUAUUAAGUCUGAUGUGAAAGCCCGGAGCUCAACUCCGGAAUGGCAUUGGAAACUGGUUAACUUGAGUGCAGUAGAGGUAAGUGGAACUCCAUGUGUAGCGGUGGAAUGCGUAGAUAUAUGGAAGAACACCAGUGGCGAAGGCGGCUUACUGGACUGCAACUGACGUUGA
rnacentral:rRNA from 1 species